rnacentral:rRNA from 1 species
GACGAACGCUGGCGGCGUGCUUAACACAUGCAAGUCGAACGGCAAGGCCCUGCUUUCGUGGGGUGCUCGAGUGGCGAACGGGUGCGUAACACGUGAGUAACCUGCCCUUGACUUUGGGAUAACUUCAGGAAACUGGGGCUAAUACCGGAUAGCAUCUCCUGCUGCAUGGUGGGGGUUGGAACGUCUCGGCGGUUGGGGAUGGACUCGCGGCUUAUCAGCUUGUUGGUGGGGUAGUGGCUUACCAAGGCUUUGACGGGUCGCCGGCCUGAGAGGGUGACCGGCGACAUUGGGACUGAGAUACGGCCCAGACUCGUACGGGAGGCAGCAGUGGGGAAUAUUGCACAGUGGGCGGAAGCCUGAUGCAGCAACGCCGCGUGCGGGAUGACGGCCUUCGGGUUGUGAACCGCUUUCGCCUGUGACGAAGCGUGAGUGACGGUAAUGGGUAAAGAAGCACCGGCUAACUACGUG